AUGGAGAACGCAGGAGGAUCGGGAGGAGCGGAGAACGAAGAGGAAAAGGAGAGGCUGGAUAUAGAUCGGGAGGCAUGUGACCCAGGCGAUGGCCGGCGAACAGCCGGUGCAGUACAACAAGAGCCACCUGGAGAGGAGGACAUGGAGGAGGAAGACGUCGAAGAUCAGGAGGAAGAGGAAGAUAGCGGAUGGGAUCACCUUGGUCCUGACCCAAACCUAGAGGAUGCUUUCGAGGCUCUUAACCUACAUGGAGAAGAAGAGGAGGAUCUUGAUCUCUCGGGGGAGGUAGAAGAGUUAAUCAGAGAGUUCCGAUGGCUAUCCCUUUUUAGGGUUCAUACUCAUCGCCCGUUUAGCCAUGUUGCAUUACUGAAUUCUAUGAGGAACGCAUGGAUGUGUGCACAAGGAGUUACCUUCAACAUCAAAGGCCCGAAUUUGUUUUUGGCUCAGUGUCAUUGCCUUGGAGACUGGAAGCGUGUAAUGGAGGGGGGGGGGGCUUGGCAGUUCAGAAGGGACCCGGUGGUGCUAGUUGAAUACGAUGGCUUUACUAAUGUGUCAGACUAUGCAUUGAAUCUGUACCCAUUGUGGGCAAGAGUAAAGGGCUUGCCAGAUGGCUUGACAAGGAAGAAGGAGCUCGCUGAGAAGGUAGCCAAAAGGUUGGGGAGCCUCCAUUCACGGUGGUUGUCAAUGAAGGAAGAAUCAAGCCGUCUAGCUACUUGA
rnacentral:rRNA from 1 species